rnacentral:rRNA from 1 species
UUUAAAGUAUAGCCUGCCCCCUGAGUAUUUAAAUGGCUGCGGUAAUCUGACCGUGCAAAGGUAGCAUAAUAAUUAGUUUUUUAAUUGAAAGCUGGAAUGAAAGGCUGGACGAGGGAAAGACUGUCUCUAUCUAAAUUUAAUUAGAAUUUUAUCUUUAAGUAAGAAAGCUUAAAUAAGUUUGAAAGACGAGAAGACCCUGUAGAGUUUUAUAUAAAUUAUAAUGUUGGGGUGUGAAGAUUAAUUGGCUUUGGCAUUAUAAAAUAUAUUUGAUUGGGGCGGUUAAAAAAUUGAAAAAACUUUUUUUAAAUUAUACCAUGAAUGAAUGAGUAAGUGAUCCAUAGUUUAUGAUUAUAAGAUUAAAUUACCUCAGGGAUAACAGCGUAAUCUUUUUUAAGAGUUCUUAUCGAAAAAAAGGGUUGCGACCUCGAUGUUGGAUUAAAAUUAACUUUUGGUGUAGGAGCUAAAACGUUAGGUCUGUUCGACCUUUAAAAUUUUACA